rnacentral:SRP_RNA from 1 species
ACUGAGCAUGGUAGCACGUGCCUGUAGUCCCAGCAACUCGGGAGGCUGAGGCAGGAGGAUUGCUUGAGCCCAGGUGUCCUGGGCCAUAAUGUACUAUGCCAAUCAUGUAUCUGCACUAGUUAGGCAUCAAUAUGGUGACCUCUUGGGAGGUAGGGACCACCAGGUUGCCUAAGAAGGGGUGAACCAGCCCAGGUCAGAAACGGAGCAGGUCAAAACUCCUGUGCUGAUCAGUAGUAGAAUCUCGUCUGUAAAUAGCUACUGCACUCCAGCCUGGGCAACAUAGCGAGACCCUGUUUCU